rnacentral:siRNA from 1 species
UCUUUAUUUCGAGGGCAGUCCG